UUGCCAAAUUUAAACCUACAUGUAAGCCCUCAAAUUAUUUUUUAUUACUUUAAAUUUAUUUCUUCAUUCAGUGAUUGUGUCCAGUGAUUGUAAGACAAUGUUACUUAAAGGGACUAAUACACUGGCUGGUAGUUGUGUAUCCAUGUUGGAUAUAUUUCAUAAUUUAGUGAAUACAUUAAAUGUACCAAUUCCUCAAGCUGUAAGAAUGCUAGCAGAAAACCCAGCAAAAGUGGCUGGUUUAAAAGGACUUGGUUCCAUUGCUAUAGCGAACAGAGCUGAUCUAUUAUUAUUUGACAAAGAUCUCACACUAACUGCAACUAUGGUGGCUGGAAAUACUGUCUGGAAGAAAUGAUAGCUCACCUUUGAAUUGAUGCAUAAUUGCAUAUUACAACGUACUUGCUUCAUAUGACUGUAUGACAAAAUAAAAUAAAUAUAAACAUGUAUGUAGUGAGGUAUGUUGCAUCUAUGUUAUAACAUAUACUUAUAUUAUAUUAGUUGAGUUUUAAUUUCAUUUAGUAAUUUUAGUUCUCUAUCUCUU